rnacentral:rRNA from 1 species
GACGAACGCUGGCGGCGGGCCUAACACAUGCAAGUCGAGCGCACAGUUCGGGGUGUGCGGCGGACGGCGGAGUAAGGCGUGGGGAGGUGCCCUUGUGUACGGACUAGCUUCGGGAAAGUGAGAGUAAUGCCAUAUAGGCCCUUAGGGGGAAAGAUUUAUCGGAAUAGGGUCGGCCCUCGUUGGAUUCGGUAGUUGGUGGGGUAAUGGCGUACCAAGCGGCCGAUCCAUAGCUGGUUGGAGAGGAUGAUCAGCAACACUUGGACUGCGACACGGCCCAGAAUCCUACGGGAGGGAGCAGUGGGUAAUCUUAGACAAUGGGGGCAACCCUGAUCUAGCCAUGCCGCGUGAGUGAUGAAGGCCUUAGGGUUGUAAUGCGCUCUCAGCUGGGAAGAUAAUGACGGUACCAGCAGAAGAAGCCCCGGCUAACUCCGUG